GCCCGCAGGUUCCAGCCCCGACCCGGGCGCGCGGGGCCGACUAGGGUCGGGUCCAGUGUGCGGUGGUCGCUCCGCUCCGGGCCGCUCCGCUCUGGGCGUCAGGGCGCGGGGAGCUGCCCCGGGGUUCUGUCCACCGGGGAGGAAAGCCACGAGCACUGAGCGCCUCCUGAGAGCCAGCCCUGACGUGAACUCAUUUUAUCUGCCACGACCCAGAAGGAGUCUACUGCUAAGAUUUCAGCAUGUCCUGUGGCUGAGUUAAUCAGAGUUAUGACAGGAAGGUACCGGGCACACCAUCGCAAUGCUCCAUCAAUGCUAGUAUGUUGUGUUCUUUCCUUCAUAUCAAGUCAACUCAAGCUUGCUCUACUUACCUGGUGUACACAGUCUAAGAACUGUAAGAAGACUGGAGCAAAACCACUCCCCUGACAGUUGAGGGUCAAGCUGCUCCUCUGACUGAAUUUGUGACCAAAAGAGAGCCACUCUUUUUCAACCAACAUCUGGAAGCCUUCAAGUGUCCUAUAAAAGGGAUCACUGAGUAACUGAACCAGGGAUGUCACCUAGGGCAUAAGCAGGAUGGAUUGUCAUUAAUUUUAGUUCUGAAAAAGGCCUAUUACUAAGAUAAAAGCACUUCCUUCUGAUGAUAGCUAAUUCACAAAUUUACCUGGACAGCAAAUUUGUUCACUAACCAUUCCAGGAUGGCCAAUAAAAUUAAUUUUGUAAACUUGCCAGUAAAAACUAAAGCUCAAAUUCAUUUUGGCUACAAGUUUACUUUCAGGGAAUUGAGACUUUAAUCCUUAACUGGCCAGUUUGCUGACAGCAACCUUUUCCUAAGUUAAUCAGAGGCCAGAGGAUCAGUUAAAAUCAAUUCUACUUUUUGGCAGAUGCAGAUUAAUGUCUUAAUGUAGUCUGAACUCACACUUUUCACUCUGGAGUGAGUUAAGGCGGGGCUUAUAGAGAGCCAGGGGAUGGACUGACAAAACCCAGGAAGGAUGGUCCACGCCUCACACUGCUGGUCAAGGGCUCCAUCCGCAAGCCUGCAUGGUACAUCUGUGGAUGGGAGAGCUUGAUGCCCGGAGCCAGAGCUCCAGGCUGCGUAGGGGCUAAGAGCUCAUGGUACGGAGUUUUCUGAUGGAUACCAGGUGCUGUUUAACACAGGACUUUCUCUGUCCAUAAACACAUUAGUCAUUAUACAAAAGAGUCAUCUGAAGAAUUUAAAAAUGACCAAAUGGAAAUAUAAAUAUAAAAUAUCAAAAAAUAUGUCUAAUAGUUUACUUGUGCAGUGAUGUCCCAGCCUUCCUCCAAACAGACCAAAACUGAGGAACCAUUCUCAAGUACUUCUGAUACAACCACAGCCAGCUGCAUUAUCCUGUGAAGCUAAGAGACAGGAAGGAGAACACAAUUAGACCAAGCGCUUUCUGAGUGCAGAAGUCAGAGAGAGUUGCUUUCAACCCUGGAUAAUCAAACGACUUAGGGAUAAAGCGCUUGCACAAAAGAACCACAUAAUGUUUUAAAUACCUAAAGUUCUUUCAAAUCAAGAUUAAACAAUGACACUUUUGACUGGAUGCAAUGACUCAUGCCCAUAAUCCCAGCACUUUGGGAGGCCGAGCCGGGCAGGUCAUUUGAGGUUCGGAGUUCGAGACCAGCCUGGGCAACAUAAGCAAGACCCUGUCUCGAAAAAUAAAAAUAAAAAAGAUACUCCUAUUUGUCUAUACUGUGUACUAAAUGAGAAAAAAACUUUCAAUAUAUUUGUGCUAAGUUUUUAAAGCCACAUCAAUUGGCUCAAAGUCCUUAAUAAACAAUUAAGGUAUGAGAAUAGUAUAUAGAUUUUAAAACCAGAUGUAUAACAUUGUAAUUUUAAAAAAUAUUUUAAUGAUCAUCAGACAUAAUUUGCAAUUUGAAUCCAACUCUGAACAAGAACAAAAAUGAAAAAACCCAUCUCUUAAACAGAGCUAGGCUACUUUAAACACAGGAAUAAGGCAAAUGCCCUACUCAGUAAUGAGAAGCUCCUCAUGUAACUGUUUCUACAACAUAGCUAUCACCAGGCCUGAAUUCUUUUGGGCUCAGAAUUUGUUCUAAGAAAUGGCUAUUAUUAAAAAGUCAAAAAAUAACAGAUGCUGGCGAGCCUGUGGAGAAAAGGGAAUGUAUAUACAUUUCUGGUGGGAAUGUAAAUUAGUUCAGCCAUUGUAGAAAGUAGUUUGGUGAUUUCUCAAAUAACUUAAAACAGAAUUACCAUUUGACCUAGCAAUCCCAUUACUGAGUAUAUACCCAAAGGAAUAUAAAUUGUUCUACCAUAAAGUCACAUGCACACACAUGUUCAGUGCUGUACUAUUCACAAUAGCAAAGACAUGGAGUCAACCUAUAUGCCCAUCAACGGUAGACUGGAUAAAGAAAAUAUGGUACAUAUACACCAUGGAAUACUACACAGCCAUAAAAAGAAUGAGCUUAUGUCCUUUGCAGUAACACAGCUGAAGCAAACUAACACAGGAAUGGAAAACCAAAUACUGCAUAUUCUCACUUAUAAGUGGGAGCUAAACAUUGAGUACACAUGGACACAAAGAAAGGAAUAGACGCCUGGGGCGUAUUUGAGGUUGGAGGUGAGAGGAGGGUGAGGAUAGAAAAACUACCUAUCAGGUACUAUGCUUAUUACCUGGGUGAUGAAAUAAUCUGUACACCAAACUCCCAAGAUAUGCAAUGUACCUAUACAACAAACCUACAU
rnacentral:lncRNA from 1 species